GCGGCAACAGCUCAAAUUUGAAAUCUGGCCCUCGGGUCCGAGUUGUAAUUUGUAGAGGAUGCUUUUGGUGCGGUGCCUUCCGAGUUCCCUGGAACGGGACGCCAUAGAGGGUGAGAGCCCCGUCUGGUUGGACACCAAGCCUCUGUAAAGCUCCUUCGACGAGUCGAGUAGUUUGGGAAUGCUGCUCUAAAUGGGAGGUAUAUGUCUUCUAAAGCUAAAUACCGGCCAGAGACCGAUAGCGCACAAGUAGAGUGAUCGAAAGAUGAAAAGCACUUUGAAAAGAGGGUUAAAUAGUACGUGAAAUUGUUGAAAGGGAAGCGCUUAUGACCAGACUUGAGCCCGGUUAAUCAUCCAGCCUUCUGGCUGGUGCACUUGGCCGGCUCAGGCCAGCAUCAGUUCGGCGCGGGGGAUAAAGGUUUCGGGAAUGUGGCUCCUCCGGGAGUGUUAUAGCCCGUUGCGUAAUACCCUGCGCUGGACUGAGGUUCGCGCAUCUGCAAGGAUGCUGGCGUAAUGGUCAUCAGCGACCCGUCUUGAAACACGGACCAAGGAGUCGUCUUCGUAUGCGAGUGUUCGGGUGUCAAACCCCUACGCGUAAUGAAAGUGAACGCAGGUGAGAGCUUCGGCGCAUCAUCGACCGAUCCUGAUGUUCUCGGAUGGAUUUGAGUAAGAGCAUACGGGGCCGGACCCGAAAGAAGGUGAACUAUGCCUGUAUAGGGUGAAGCCAGAGGAAACUCUGGUGGAGGCUCGCAGCGGUUCUGACGUGCAAAUCGAUCGUCAAAUAUGGG
rnacentral:rRNA from 1 species